rnacentral:rRNA from 1 species
ACGAACGCUGGCGGCGUGCCUCAUACAUGCAAGUUGAGCGCUGAAGGUUGGUACUUGUACCAACUGGAUGAGCAGCGAACGGGUGAGUAACGCGUGGGGAAUCUGCCUUUGAGCGGGGGACAACAUUUGGAAACGAAUGCUAAUACCGCAUAAAAACUUUAAACACAAGUUUUAAGUUUGAAAGAUGCAAUUGCAUCACUCAAAGAUGAUCCCGCGUUGUAUUAGCUAGUUGGUGAGGUAAAGGCUCACCAAGGCGAUGAUACAUAGCCGACCUGAGAGGGUGAUCGGCCACAUUGGGACUGAGACACGGCCCAAACUCCUACGGGAGGCAGCAGUAGGGAAUCUUCGGCAAUGGACGAAAGUCUGACCGAGCAACGCCGCGUGAGUGAAGAAGGUUUUCGGAUCGUAAAACUCUGUUGGUAGAGAAGAACGUUGGUGAGAGUGGAAAGCUCAUCAAGUGACGGUAACUACCCAGAAAGGGACGGCUAACUACGUG